UUGAUGAGUCGUGAAAUUACGCGAUAUUCGACGCUAAUUCCUUAAGCUUUUGUGACUCCUUAAGCACUUUUGUUGUUACUUUUUGUGUUUUUAUGUUGUUUUGUAGGAAAAGAUGCCCGGAGAGCAUAAUGGAGCAAAACGGACCAAAACGGACCAAAAUAGAGCAAAAAUAGAACAAAUUCAUACUUUCUGGCACCAUAUGCUACACGCAGAGUAUAGCACAUGAGAAAAUUGUUACCACAUGCUACGGUUUUGGCACCACAUGCGAUUAGCAUGUUGAACAUGCGAAUAGCAUGUGAAAAGAUGUUGUGCAAGAGGGUAUUUUGGUCCGCAUUUUGUUCCCGUUUUUUGGAUGAUAUAAAUACUCUUUUAGGGUUUGUAAUAGAUUAUCUUUGGCAGCUUUUUCAUCAAGUUUGGAGACUAGUUUUUACACCACACUUUGGGGUUGAAGAUUUGAAGAUUUGGUUGAGUAUUUCUUAAACCUUUAAUUCAUUUCUUCAAUUCCUUGCUUUGUAUUGUAUAUCUAAGUGUGUAGCUUUCUAUUCCAUAACUUGAAUCUCGUUUAUGAAAGUAUUCUUGAUUAAAGUUUGGUUUGAAACUCUUGUUGUGCUUAUGUAUUGAAUGAUUCUUAUUGCUAUUGAAGUGGGUCUUUGUUGAUUUAA